rnacentral:tRNA from 1 species
GCUGCGAUGGCCGACUGGUUAAGGCGUUAGACUUGAAAUCUAAUGGGAUCUUCCCGCGUAGGUUCGAACCCUACUCGCAGCGUA